rnacentral:rRNA from 1 species
CGAAUCAAAACUUUCAACAACGGAUCUCUUGGUUCUGGCAUCGAUGAAGAACGCAGCGAAAUGCGAUACGUAAUGUGAAUUGCAGAAUUCCGUGAAUCAUCGAAUCUUUGAACGCACAUUGCGCCCGCCAGCAUUCUGGCGGGCAUGCCUGUUCGAGCGUCA